rnacentral:lncRNA from 1 species
GCAAGUGGCAUCCACCAUUCAAAAUCUACAUUUAAAACUAGUUUAGUUUGUUGAUGAGAUGAUUUCUGUAUGUACUUUUGUCUUAAUACUGUUAUGUUGGGGGGAAAUAGAGACUGUGUUAUUUAAAAACGUGUGAUGUUAUCAUAGUAAUAUAUAUUUAUAUAUGUAUAGGAAAUGCAUUAUUUAAUACAGCAUAUUAUGCUUGUAUCUUGCUAACAUAGGAAGAAAAGAUGUUAGUUUACACUGUGGGAAAAUAAAUUUUCUAUACACUGUAACCAUAGAAAAAAAAUCAAAGAUAAUUCAUUGGUAUAUAUGAUAGAAAAACACUGAGAAGAAGGUAACCCAGACUCAGUUUUGUGGCAGAAUAGAUGCUGAUGAAACAAUUGCUUUAAAACACACUUUCCUUCUUUGAAUCUCAUUUCCAGCUUGUAAUUGUAUUAGGCUGUUCAUCGGAUUCUGCACAUUCACAUGCAUACACUCUCAGGACCAUUUGAACAUCAAACAUAUCAUCUGCUUUUUCAAUCAAGCAAUAGCGUUGUCUUUUUUAGGGCCUGUUUCUGCCAGAUUUUCUACAGCCAGUGCAAUGUUGAGGAGGUUUAUCAGGUUGCUCAUGCAGACAACCCAGUGAUACUGCAGAAUUAUAGUCACUGUAUUCUAAGCUCCCUUGGCAGUAGUAUAAAUGGGAUGUUUUUACUGAUAGAUCUGGAAACAGUACUGAAUCUGCAGCCUGUAUGACUACAGGCCAGACACAUCAGCAGACACUCACUUGGCUGCCACAGCAUGAGCGUGGCUAGCUAUUCCAGUUUCAUCUUCUGCUUAAUAAGCCUUCUCAGGCAGUGGGAAGGACUGCUGGCAGAAUUUUCUAGUGCACCACUUUGCCUAAAGGAAGGGUGAACUACAAAAACAACUCCUGACAAAAACUUGUCCAACUAGUUCUUAAUACCAAUGAUAUUUCACAAUCUUGCAAUGAAAUAUAGUCCAGUGAUAGUUUCAACUGAAUAUUGUUCUAGAUGUUUAUGAAUAACCUUACCAAUCUGCUACCGUGAGAUCGUGAGAGUGAAAAAUAUAACUGCCUUCUGACCAUACCAUUUUAUUUGUAACACCCCCCCCAACACACACACAUUUCACACAACUGGUACUUUUAUCAACUUCACUGAGCACCUGUGCUUUGGGAUAAAAUUUGGCAUUCUGAAUUUCAGUUUCAAGACAAUUUACUGUAAAUCCAAAGGCUGUCACAUGAACCAAAUGAGUGACAAGAAAACAGAAUGAAUCCAACUUGCAGCAACUUACCACUGAACUCUGUGUGUAUUUACACAUGCUCGUCCUGUGUCCAGCAAACGGCUGUAAGCAGUCAUUAUGUAAUAAUAAUAAAAAAAAAAAAAAAGGCAGUGAAUUUCUGCAGGAGGGUUCAGUUGGUGCUGCUGAAGCACAGCCAGCAGUGAAUAAAGGAGGCAGAAACUGCUGCAGUUCACCAGCACAUUACAGCAGCGUCGUCUGCUGUAGAGAUUUGAAGGGAGUAAUUGAGCUGAAAAUGGUUCCACACAGAAAAUAUGGUACCGCUCUAAGAAGCGAUUUCUGAGGUAACGUCAAAUUGAAGUUUUUGAUUUACAUGUUUUCAAACUAUUAGAACUAUAAUAAUUCUUCCAGUGUUUUCUCUACAGAUUGUAACAGCAUCUAAUGGUCUUUCCACUUACUUGCAAGAUAUAUUUUUCUUUCAUGAAUUCCUCAUUCUGACCAAAAUAAUGCUACACGUUCUUAAAGAAAUCUUUAGCUAUAUUUUAUGUAAACAUCUGAACACCAGCGUCAGAUACCAAAACUGUCUCCAGCUUCUCUUAUCAGGACUCAAGCUCUCAUUGUCUUGUAGAAACACCACUGUUACAGGGGAGGUUACUCUGGUCGCCUUUCCUGCCAUUCAGGUUAUGAGACUCCUCUCGCACUGCUGCUUAUUCUAGAGACUGUUGCCUUUUCUGUUGUUUCCUAAGCAACAGUUUCAUUCCCCAUGUGGGAGAUGCAUUCUUUAUUUUGAAAGAGACACUUCUGUGAAGUGUUCCAAGUCACAGGAGCACGGCGCUUCUGCUGUAAGGUAAAAUACCUGGUUUCAGGUUUGCUGUUUUCUCCCUGGCCAAAGACUUGGGACAGGCUCCACACAGUAUGAACACAACCAUCAUCCUUUUAAGGACAACUUUUCUCCUCACAGAACCCAAGUAACAGCCAGUGUUACCCAACAGCUGUCAUAGCAUUUGACAGAUGCACCCAAUACUGCUACGGCAAAAAUGAGAUACUGUUACAGAAACACCAAGUGUUACCAUAAUGUACAAUCUCAUUAAGAACAGUUUGCUCCUGCUGCUUCUUGUUUUACCAUAUGGAGACGGUACACGAAUUAGUUCCUUAAAUAUUGAACUCAACAAAGAAACCCCCCUGCCAAAUAUGAAAAUACUAAUUUUUUGAUAGAGGCAUGUUUACAUUUAGUCAUUAAAAAAAAAAAGCCACAACAAGUAAGAGACAGGAUACCACAAACACACACAAAACUAAGCAACGCAUUCAAGUUCAGCCAACAGCCCACAGCUGUCUUUCUCAAAGAGACCAAGUAUGGGCUUACUGAUGAUUGUGUGGGACAGCAAGGGUAGAGGUACAUCCUGUUGUUAAAAGCACUAUCACCUCAAGAUUUUCUUCAGAACAAAAAAUGACAAAACUAAACACUAGUCAGCAGUGGCAAACUGGGAAGGGUGCAAGGAAGGAAGAGGAAGAAGGCUCAGAUGUGACCUGUCACCACAAGCCUAUCAGCCAAACACAUAUGGCAAGUUUUACGUAUUUUUAAGAGCAAUUGCUUAAUGAACUAAUUUUCAAAUAAAAUGCGUAUCUGUAAUCAUUGGCAAUUACCAAGAUUCUGUUCAUCAAGCAAAAAAAGGGCAUGUAUUUUGAUUGGGAAGCACUUGCUGGUGCUGCUUGACUCCUUCCCGCCUGUUGCUCUUCCAUUAUUGUGCCUGUCUUCUCAUACAGACCCGGCUUUCCCAUUCCCAUAUUAUCCGAGAUGAGAAUAACUGAUGCUCAUGCUAGAAAGCAUCCCGUGCAACAUGAUACUCUUCAGUUCAACAGGCUGUCAUACCAAACAUGGAGUUGUCACAUAUGAAAGAGAGGAUUGGAGAGAUGUAAGGCUUAUUUCUUGGCUGAAUUCUGAGCUGACUGAAUUGCAGUGCACUUGAACAUGGAUGAAAGAAGGGGAAAGUCAAGGGAAUUACCAGGUAAAAAUCUUAAAGGGAGAAACUGGAAGAGGAAACCGGAAAGAUUUUCUGUGUAUCACUGCAUGGGAAAUAACUGUAUGGAGGAAAACUGUUUAUACAAUAACAUAUAAGCACACAUUACAUACAUACAUACGAACACACACAUGCAGGUCGGUAGCCACGCCCCUCCAAGCCCCUCUUUUUUGGUGUCUGCACAAACAUCUUGGAUCAAAUUAUGCCCUCUGUCGACAAAAAGAGGGUAGCACAGCACUGAUUUUCACUUCAGUGGGACCAGCGAUUCAUGAUCCAGCGUAAGGACUUGGAUUUAGUUUGAUUAUUCAAGCUAUGAUUUAGCCAGCUGUGCCCACCUGCACAAUGCUGGGUCAGGUCUCGAAACAGUAUUAUUGUUAGAUUAUUUUUACUUGAAACCAGAAUUAAGUUCCCCUGCUACAAGCAACAGGCAGGUUCCAAACACAAAUGAGGAUGCUUUCCAGCAGAUGUCACUCAUGUGCCUGGAGGCUUUAGGGGCUUGCCCCCAACCUGCACACUGUAGAGGGGCCCAAGUGCUGUCCUGUUAGUCAGGGACACAAGCUCUGCCACACUGCAUUUCCUUCCCUGUCUCUCUCCCCUGGCAAUGCUUCUUCACCCAUCUCUUCCCCAGCAUACUCUGGUGCACGAUUUUCCUUACCAUUCACUUGUCUUUCUAUGCCCUACAUUGUCUUUGCCUUCCUUCCUAUAAUCUAUGUUUUUCUGCAGUGAAUAUCUCUAACUUCCCCCCUCCUCAACAGCAACAUCAGCCCUCUGGGGUGAAGCAACAGGCAGCCCUCAUGUAACACAAACACUGAGACUUGUGAGACUAUCUGGGGACAGCAUUAGGAAAGCAGCUGAAACUGUCAAGGCCUAGACUGACACUGCACCAAUACCAGGCAACAAAAAAAGCUCACUUUUGGUUGAUACUCAACUGUGGCAUUUGCCAAAAGGUGGAUGGUGCUGAGACGAAACAUUACAGGUUGCGUCCAGAAAACAAGCCACUUCUGAAUCUUUUAUUGUGAUUAUCUGUUAGGAUCUGUGUGCAUGUAUAUACAGAUUUACCUACCUGUUACUUAAAAAUAAGAAAAAAUAAAUGUUGCUUAUAUUUGAGUUCAUAUCAGUAUAUGUAGGACUACACUUUGAGGAGCACAGCUAUCCAUGUCCUUGCCCUCAAAACAAGAAGGACAACUUCCACAUGUAUAUGCAAUAAAACUGUAUUUUUGUGU